GUCAAAUCAGAAAUCGAACAUCCUUAGUGAUUAGGUCAUCUCAUAACCUAAUCGGAUCAAACCAAAUUGAAUCCAAUUCAAUUAGAUUUGAUCCAAACCUCAAUGCUCAAUCAAAUUAAGCUAAUUAGUAAUCUAAUUACUAAUCAAUUCUCCUUAAAUUCAUCAAUAAUUAGUGAAUUAAUUUAUUACAAUUUUUGCACAGGGUUAAUCAUCAAUCGAAUUGACUGUUUUAUCCUAGAA
rnacentral:lncRNA from 1 species